GACGAACGCUGGCGGCGUGCUUAACACAUGCAAGUCGAACGGAAAGGCCCUGCUUUUGUGGGGUGCUCGAGUGGCGAACGGGUGUGUAACACGUGAGUAACCUGCCCCUGACUUUGGGAUAACUUCACGAAACUGGGGCUAAUACCGGAUAGGAUCUCCUGCUGCAUGGUGGGGGUUGGAAAGUUUCGGCGGUUGGGGAUGGACUCGCGGCUUAUCAGCUUGUUGGUCGGGUAGUGGCUUACCAAGGCUUCGACGGGUAGGCGGCCUGAGAGCGUGGCCGGGGACAAUGGGACUGAGAUAGGGCGCAGAAGGGUACGGGAGGCAACAGGGGGAAGCAUGACGCAAUAGGGGGGAGCCUGUUACGAAGGCGCCGGGUGCGGAAUAACGGCCUACGGGUUAUAAACAAAUUUCGCCUGUGACGAGGCGUGAGUGACGGUAAUGGGUAAGAAAGCAACGGCUAACUACGUG
rnacentral:rRNA from 1 species